AAAUGUUUAAAAUGUUUUUUGCAAGAUAAGCCCUCAACAAACAGUCGUCCUGUUCCACUUUUGGCCAGUCUCAAUGCUUGUCUUCCAGAAUGUCUGCGUGUGGAUGAAUCGCAACAGGAUCCUGGGAAUUUUUAAGAAAGGGAGGAAGGAGGACCCGGGGAACUACAGGCCGGUGAGCCUCACCUCUGUGCCUGGGAAGAUCAUGGAGCAGAUCCUCCUACAAGAGGAGGAAACUUACAGGAGAAAAAAACUACAGGAAAUAUUGUUUCACGUGUAAUGAAAAGCCAGGGUCCAGAAGAUCACUGCGGCCAGAUGCCAAUUUUGAUGCCCUCGUCACUAAGACUUGUCCAAGCCCUGAUGUAUGUGAAGCUCAUCAGGAGGGAAUGCUAGCAAGAAUCAGCUAACACAAUAGCAGCAAGCUUUCAGUGACAGCGUUCAGGAAGGGUGACGAUUCAGGCUGGGAGCAGGGUGUAAGAGAAUGAACUCUGUAGGAGCGCUGCUGUCAUAGGCCACCAAGGGCCCGGGAUGCCUGGCUGAAAUUUGAUGUUGCAGAUACCUUGGUGUCACUGGAAUCCAUGGAGUUGACACAGUCCUCUGAUGGCUGGAUUUCUGCUUUCUAAGGGUAUUCCUUUCUGUUUCUCAACUUUUCGGGUGAUACUGCUUUGCUUUCCUUGGCUUUUU